UACGAACCACACAAACGUUAUUCGGAAUUACUGGGCUUAAAGGGUGCGUAGGCGGCGCGGAAAGUAGGGUGUGAAAUCCCUCGGCUCAACCGAGGAAUUGCGCCCUAAACUACCGUGCUCGAGGGAGAUAGAGGUGAGCGGAACUUAGGGUGGAGCGGUGAAAUGCGUUGAUAUCCUAAGGAACACCGGUGGCGAAAGCGGGUCUCUGGGCCGAAACUGACGCUGAGGAGCGAAAGCGUGGGGAGCAAACAGG
rnacentral:rRNA from 1 species